UGUCGCUAUACCGCAUACGCCCUUAGGGGGAAAGAUUUAUCGCUGAUAGAUGAGCCCGCGUACGAUUAGCUAGUUGGUGAGGUAAUGGCUCACCAAGGCUACGAUCGUUAGCUGGUCUGAGAGGAUGAUCAGCCACACUGGGACUGAGACACGGCCCAGACUCCUACGGGAGGCAGCAGUGGGGAAUAUUGGACAAUGGGCGAAAGCCUGAUCCAGCAAUGCCGCGUGAGUGAUGAAGGCCUUAGGGUUGUAACCCCCCGCGCCCCCGCCCCGCCCGCCGCGCGCCGCC
rnacentral:rRNA from 1 species